GACGAACCGUCCAAACGUUAUUCGGAAUCACUGGGCUUAAAGGGUGCGUAGGCGGCUCAGAAAGUAGGGUGUGAAAGCCCUCGGCUCAACCGAGGAAUUGCGCCCUAAACUACUGGGCUUGAGGAAGACAGAGGUAAGCGGAACUUACGGUGGAGCGGUGAAAUGCGUUGAUAUCGUAAGGAACACCAGGAGCGAAGGCGGCUUACUGGGUCUUAUCUGACGCUGAGGCACGAAAGCUAGGGGAGCGAACGGG
rnacentral:rRNA from 1 species